rnacentral:rRNA from 1 species
GACGAACGCUGGCGGCGUGCUUAACACAUGCAAGUCGAACGGAAAGGCCCUGCUUUUGUGGGGUGCUCGAGUGGCGAACGGGUGAGUAACACGUGAGUAACCUGCCCUUGACUUUGGGAUAACUUCAGGAAACUGGGGCUAAUACCGGAUAGGAGCUCCUGCUGCAUGGUGGGGGUUGGAAAGUUUCGGCGGUUGGGGAUGGACUCGCGGCUUAUCAGCUUGUUGGUGGGGUAGUGGCUUACCAAGGCUUUGACGGGUAGCCGGCCUGAGAGGGUGACCGGCCACAUUGGGACUGAGAUACGGCCCAGACUCCUACGGGAGGCAGCAGUGGGGAAUAUUGCACAAUGGGCGGAAGCCUGAUGCAGCAACGCCGCGUGCGGGAUGACGGCCUUCGGGUUGUAAACCGCUUUCGCCUGUGACGAAGCGUGAGUGACGGUAAUGGGUAAAGAAGCACCGGCUAACUACGUGCCAGCAGCCGCGGUGAUACGUAGGGUGCGAGCGUUGUCCGGAUUUAUUGGGCGUAAAGGGCUCGUAGGUGGUUGAUCGCGUCGGAAGUGUAAUCUUGGGGCUUAACCCUGAGCGUGCUUUCGAUACGGGUUGACUUGAGGAAGGUAGGGGAGAAUGGAAUUCCUGGUGGAGCGGUGGAAUGCGCAGAUAUCAGGAGGAACACCAGUGGCGAAGGCGGUUCUCUGGGCCUUUCCUGACGCUGAGGAGCGAAAGCGUGGGGAGCGAACAGGCUUAGAUACCCUGGUAGUCCACGCUGUAAACGGUGGGUACUAGGUGUGGGGUCCAUUCCACGGGUUCCGUGCCGUAGCUAACGCUUUAAGUACCCCGCCUGGGGAGUACGGCCGCAAGGCUAAAAUUCAAAGGAAUUGACGGGGCCCCGCACAAGCGGCGGAGCAUGCGGAUUAAUUCGAUGCAACGCGUAGAACCUUACCUGGGUUUGACAUGGAUCGGGAGUGCUCAGAGAUGGGUGUGCCUCUUUUGGGGUCGGUUCACAGGUGGUGCAUGGCUGUCGUCGGCUCGUGUCGUGAGAUGUUGGGUUAAGUCCCGCAACGAGCGCAACCCUUGUUCACUGUUGCCAGCACGUUAUGGUGGGGACUCAGUGGAGACCGCCGGGGUCAACUCGGAGGAAGGUGGGGAUGACGUCAAGUCAUCAUGCCCCUUAUGUCCAGGGCUUCACGCAUGCUACAAUGGCUGGUACAGAGAGUGGCGAGCCUGUGAGGGUGAGCGAAUCUCGGAAAGCCGGUCUCAGUUCGGAUUGGGGUCUGCAACUCGACCUCAUGAAGUCGGAGUCGCUAGUAAUCGCAGAUCAGCAACGCUGCGGUGAAUACGUUCCCGGG